GUGUCUACUAGACUGCAACGAAAAGCAAAAGUUGCUGUAUCUCUUUGCUGCCAUCUAGUGACCAUUUGAUUUUUCUCGUUUUGGAUCUAGUAGGCCUAACUUGCAUCCCAGGCCCUUUGCUUUUUUAUCUUCUGCAUAUAAUUUAUCCCCCUGUGGUAGUGUCAUUUGUCUCUAAGGGUAUAAGUAGGAAUGGAUAGUGAUCAGUCAGUCUGUUGAGUUAUCUGUGGGUGGAUGCUGCCAACCCAUUGGUCAAGGAAUUCCAGCUGGUGGAGUCCAGGAGAAGGGCCUUCUUUGCUGUGGCUCCUGCCCUUUGGAAUACCCAGUUCCUGAGGGCUACAUUGAUCAACUUCAUCCCACUGAGUACAAACUACACGAUGCUUUAGUGACACUCAUGGUUCACGAUGCUCC